rnacentral:tRNA from 1 species
UACUCGGUGGCUGAAAGUAAGUAUAGAUCUUUUAAAUCUAACAUAGUAAUUCACACCUACUUCGAGUAA